rnacentral:rRNA from 1 species
CGGUGAGAAGCUUGCUUCUCACCGGCGACGAGUGGCGAACGGGUGAGUAAUACAUCGGAACGUGUCCGCUCGUGGGGGACAACCAGCCGAAAGGUUGGCUAAUACCGCAUGAGUUCUACGGAAGAAAGAGGGGGACCCGCAAGGGCCUCUCGCGAGCGGAGCGGCCGAUGACUGAUUAGCCGGUUGGUGAGGUAACGGCUCACCAAAGCAACGAUCAGUAGCUGGUCUGAGAGGACGACCAGCCACACUGGGACUGAGACACGGCCCAGACUCC